rnacentral:rRNA from 1 species
AGGGUUUGAUCCUGGCUCAGAACGAACGCUGGCGGCGUGGAUUAGGCAUGCAAGUCGAGCGACGGACCUUCCUUCGGGAGGGGGACCGAGCGGCGAAAGUGUGAGUAAUACAUGGACAACCUACCCUGGAGACGGGGACAACCGCUGGAAACGGCGGCUAAUACCCGAUGGUCCAGAAAGGUGGCAUCAUCUUUCUUGUAAAUGGGGGGCUCGUACCCCCGCUCCUGGAGGGGUCUAUGUCCUAUCAGCUUGUUGGUGAGGUAAUGGCUCACCAAGGCGACGACGGGUAGCCGGACUGAGAGGUUGACCGGCCACACUGGGACUGAGACACUGCCCAGACUCCUAUGGGAGGCUGCAGUCGAGAAUCAUUCGCAAUGGGCGCAAGCCUGACGAUGCGACGCCGCGUGGAGGAUGAAGGCUUACGGGUCGUAAACUCCUGUCAUGGGUUAAGAAAUGCCGGUAGGGGAAAUCCUGUCGGUUUGACAAAGGCCCAAGAGGAAGCCACGGCUAACUUCGUGCCAGCAGCCGCGGUAAUACGAAGGUGGCAAGCGUUGUUCGGAAUCACUGGGCAUAAAGGGCGUGUAGGCGGUUUGGUAAGUCGGUAGUGAAAUCCCUCGGCUCAACCGAGGAAGUGCUACCGAUACUGUUAAACUUGAGUGCGGGAGGGGAGAGUGGAACUCUUGGCGGAGCGGUGAAAUGCGUUGAUAUCAAGAGGAGCGCCGGCGGCGAAAGCGACUCUCUGGCCCGCAACUGACGCUGAGGCGCGAAAGCCAGGGGAGCAAACGGGAUUAGAUACCCCGGUAGUCCUGGCUGUAAACGAUGGGCACUAGGUAGGGGGGGUUCCGAUGCUUUCCCUGCCGAAGCUAAUGUAUUAAGUGCCCCGCCUGGGGAGUACGGUCGCAAGGCUGAAACUCAAAGGAAUUGACGGGGGCUCACACAAGCGGUGGAGCAUGUGGUUUAAUUCGAAGCAACGCGAAGAACCUUACCAGGGCUAGAAAAGCGGGUAGUACCUCCCCGAAAGGGGUAGGGAUCCCGCUUGCGGGAAGCCUGGUCCAGGUGUUGCAUGGCUGUCGUCAGUUCGUGUCGUGAGAUGUAGGGUUAAGUCCCGUAACGAACGAAACCCCUGCCCUUAGUUGCCAGCGGUUCGGCCGGGGACUCUAGGGGGACUGCCGCGUUAAAGUAGGAGGAAGGUGGCACGACGUCAAGUCAUCAUGGCCCUUACGUCCUGGGCUACACACGUGCUACAAUGGCCGGUACAAAGGGAAGCAAGACCGUGAGGUGGAGCAAAUCCCAAAAGCCGGUCCCAGUUCGGAUUGAAGGCUGCAACUCGCCUUCAUGAAGCCGGAAUCGCUAGUAAUCGCGGGUCAGCAAUACCGCGGUGAAUAUGUUCCUGAGCCUUGUACACACCGCCCGUCAAGCCACGAGAGCUGGUAGUGCCCGAAGUCGUUGACCCAACCGUAAGGAGGGAGGCGCCGAAGGUAAGACCAGUGAUUGGGACUAAGUCGUAACAAGGUA